rnacentral:rRNA from 1 species
CAAUAGCGUAUAUUAAAGUUGUUGCAGUUAAAAAGCUCGUAGUCGGAUGUCGGGCUCGGGCAGGCUGUCGGCUUCGGUCGGACGGCAGGCUCGGGUCUUUCUGCCUGAGGAUCCAUCUCAUUCACUUGGGGUGGGGACGCAGGCCGUUUACUUUGAAAAAAUUAGAGUGUUCAAAGCAGGCCUACGCUUGAAUACAUUAGCAUGGAAUAAUGGAAUAGGACUUUGGUGCUAUUUUGUUGGUUUAUGGGACCGAAGUAAUGAUUAACAGGGACAGUUGGGGCCGUUUAUAUUUCGUUGUCAGAGGUGAAAUUCUUGGAUUUACGAAAGAUAAACUUCUGCGAAANCANNNGGCAAGGAUGUUUUCAUNGA